UACGGAGGGUGCGAGCGUUGUCCGGAAUCACCGGGCGUAAAGGGCGCGUAGGCGGCUCGGUAAGUAGGGGGUGAAAUCCUGCGGCUUAACCGCAGGGCUGCCUUCUAAACUGUCGAGCUCGAGCACGGUAGAGGCAGAUGGAAUUCCCGGUGUAGCGGUGGAAUGCGUAGAGAUCGGGAAGAACAUCAGUGGCGAAGGCGGUCUGCUGGGCCGUUGCUGACGCUGAGGCGCGACAGCGUGGGGAGCAAACAGG
rnacentral:rRNA from 1 species